AAUGAACGCUGGCGGCAUGCCUAAUACAUGCAAGUCGAGCGGACGCACAGGGAGAUUUCUCCCCUGCGGUUGGCGAGGGACGGGUGAGUGACGCGUGGAUCGCCUACCUCUAAGACUGGGGUAACAACGUGGGAAAAGAUCUAAUAACGGAUCAUAUAUUGCACCGGAUAGUUCAGUCGUUCAUGUGGCUUUUGGUGUGACUUAUAGCUGAAUCCGCGUCGGAUUAGUUAGUUGGUAAAGUACCGGCUUACCAAGGCCACGAUGCGUAGCCGAUCUGAGAGGAUGAUCGGCCACACUGGAACUGAGACACGGUCCAGACUCCUACGGGAGGCAGCAGUAGGGAAUCUUCCGCAAUGGGCGAAAGCCUGAUCGAGCAACGCCGCGUGAGUGAUGAAGGCCUUCGGGUUGUAAAGCGCUGUUAUUAGGAAAGAAAAAAAGUGUAUUUAACCCCGCCCGUCUUGACGGUACCUAAAGAAUAAGCCCCGGCUAACUACGUG
rnacentral:rRNA from 1 species